rnacentral:rRNA from 1 species
AACGAACGCUGGCGGCAUGCCUAACACCUGCAAGUCGAACGAAGGCUUCGGCCUUAGUGGCGCACGGGUGAGUAACGCGUGGGAAACUGCCUAUUGGUGGGGAAUAACGACGGGAAACUGUCGCUAAUACCGCAUAAGCCCUUCGGGGGAAGGAUUUAUCGCCGAUAGAUGUGCCCGCGUCCGAUUAGCUAGUUGGUGCGGUAAUGGCUCACCAAGGCGACGGUCGGUAGCUGGUCUGAGAGGAUGAUCAGCCACACUGGGACUGAGACACGGCCCAGACUCCUACGGGAGGCAGCAGUGGGGAGUAUUGGACAAUGGGCGAAAGCCUGAUCCAGUAAUGCCGCGUGAGUGAUGAAGGCCUUAGGGUUGUAAAGCUCUUUCGGGUGGGACGAUGAUGACGGUACCACCAGAAGAAGCCCCGGCUAACUUCGUGCCAGCCGCCGCGGUAA